GUGGGGAAUUUUGGACAAUGGGCGCAAGCCUGAUCCAGCAAUGCCGCGUGCAGGAAGAAGGCCUUCGGGUUGUAAACUGCUUUUGUACGGAACGAAAAGGCUCUGGCUAAUACCUGGAGCUCAUGACGGUACCGUAAGAAUAAGCACCGGCUAACUACGUGCCAGCAGCCGCGGUAAUACGUAGGGUGCGAGCGUUAAUCGGAAUUACUGGGCGUAAAGCGUGCGCAGGCGGUGCUGUAAGACAGGCGUGAAAUCCCCGGGCUCAACCUGGGAAUUGCGCUUGUGACUGCAGCGCUGGAGUGCGGCAGAGGGGGAUGGAAUUCCGCGUGUAGCAGUGAAAUGCGUAGAUAUGCGGAGGAACACCGAUGGCGAAGGCAAUCCCCUGAGCCUGCACUGACGCUCAUGCACGAAAGCGUGGGGAGCAAACAGGAUUAGAAACCCUGGUAGUCC
rnacentral:rRNA from 1 species